CAGUUGUGGGACAUGAAUGGAUUCCUUGCACGGUACCUUGCUAUGGGGCUUGCUAGCGCACUCGUUGCGCUGAUCAUAGCCCCCUACAACUCUGACACGAUUUCUCCAGACAUAUAGGAAUAUGCAGCACAUGCCAUUGGAGACCUUUUCGGAAGGAAUGAGCAAAAUCUUGAGGAGCAAGGUACUUGUCAACGUAUAACAUUGUGGCCCUCCGGCAGUUGAUAAAUGUUCAAGCCUAAUAAAAUUCAGUGAAUUCAACGAACCGGUAGACUCGUGUACACAUAAUAAAUAUCUCGAAAACAA